CAAGUAUAUAAAUUCUAGUACAAAACAUUAGAAUUGAUAGAACUAAAUAAAACUUUGAGCUUUCAAUAACGCCGAUAUACUGCAGAAUGUCCAAGUAUUUGAUUCUGUUGGUUUUAAUGGCAUUUAUUGCUACUGUUUAUGCUGAAUGUAAACUUCCAACUACACCAUGUGAAUCAGACAAUGAAUGCUGUCAAGGUUGGUGCGUUCCAUCACCGUCAGGUUCGGAUAAAAUGUGUAUAGUACCAGUGUGAAUCCCUCUCAAGCUUAUACUUAAAAGAUUAAAUAAUAUUUAAAGGUAAAUGCAGAAGUAGUCAAUUUUUUUAUAGCUUUUGAAUGAUGUAUUUUUCAUUAUAAAUUACAUUUAUGUCAAUAACAAGUUAUGUUUAAU